CAGGCUGCUGGUCUGACCUCCUCCUGCUGCGGGCUCCAGUGACCUAGGCAGGGGAGCCAACGAGUCCCACCACAAGCCUUUUCAGGAACUGCCCGGGCCCUGGCCGGCCGAGCCCCCCAGAACCGCACAGGCCGCACUGAGGGAGGGCAAGGAUGGCACAUGCAUGGAACCCCCAGGGCCUGGUAUGUGAGCAGGUGAGCGGAUGCUGCCUGCUCACCAGAGGGCAAGGAUGGCACGCGCAUGGUACCCUUGGGGACUGCUCAUGGGGAGAAGGAGUCACGUGAUGCUGGGCACACAUGCUUCCUCCGGGCAGCCCCCCUCGGCUGCAUCUGGCAACUUGAGGCUUCCGUGGCUGCUCACUCCUUGUUCCGAAACCUCAUCCUCGUGGGACUUGCCCUGUGGCUUCUGCAUAG
ensembl:lncRNA